GAAAUUUGCAGUUCUGAAUGGCCAUUUUGUGCUGAACCCUAAAGUAAAUCAGUUUUCAUAGGCUCUAUAUGUUUAUGGCCUGGAAGAUAAAACAGUUUUAGCCCUUAGCUAGCUAAGAUUUUCCAUUUCACUCAGACGCUAACAGUCGGAGUAGUGAGGGCAUUAAUCAAAUCCAGUGUUCCAGUGGCUGGGUGUUGGGACCUGUUCCAGCCUGGGUGAUGAUGGUGGACACUGAGCCUUCUGGCUCUCAGUGAUUGGGCCUUGCUGGUGCUGCUGGUGUUUGGCUGAGUCCUCAAGAAAAACACGACUGCUCAAGUGUGGGAAGGUUUGAGGUCCCGCCUACAGUAAAAGACUACAUCAGGCUGAAAUAAGACUCAUCCUUUAAGGACAGUGGAGGACAUUCACCCUCCUCUUGAGACAUUUUCCCCUCUCUCCUCCUCACUAUGCAUUAUCUAGUGACAGAGGCAUCCCAGGCCCUGCUCCCUUCGCUGUGAUGGAUGGUCCUCAGUGCUCCACAGUGGCCACAGUGAUUGGCUAGUCCUGAUACAACUCUAAAUGGCUUCAGUAGGAAUCUCAUUGCCCCACAGUUCCCUAAAGA